GCCUCCGUGGCAUAGUGGUUCUAUGUCAAGGAGUGCCGUGUGGGUCAGCAUACGGGCGCUGGUUCGAAUCCAGCCGGAGGCA
rnacentral:tRNA from 1 species